GCCCUCGGUCGCCGUGACGAGUCACUACGAUAACACCCUCGAGAGUCACGUUGCCCUCGAUCUUACCUGAAUUCAAAAUAACGCUCGAAUCUUCUCCGCUGAGCAUUCAGACACUUUCUCGAGGGUACAAAUAAAAAUAUCUAUUUGCACAACCGAUGGGCACGUACCUUCGGAGCCGACGGGAAUGUCCUCCGGCGAGUGGCAGAAUUUGAAUACCCUUUGAUUCCGAACGUCACGCUUCAUUUGUCGUGGAAAUUCUCGUAUCGGCCCUGCGAUCCUUUUCAGCGAUUCCUCAGCGUGUUAUCCAACAGGCAAAACUAUCAAAAACGAGAGAAAUUUUUU